rnacentral:rRNA from 1 species
UACAGAGGGUGCAAGCGUUAAUCGGAAUUACUGGGCGUAAAGCGCGCGUAGGCGGCUUGAUAGGAUGGGUGUGAAAUCCCCGGCGUUAACCUCGGGACGUAGCAUCCAUAACUGUCUGGCUAGAGUACAGUAGAGGGUGGUGGAAUUUCCUGUGUAGCGGUGAAUGCGUAGAUAUAGGAAGGAACACCAGUGGCGAAGGCGACCACCUGGACUGAUACUGACGCUGAGGUGCGAAAGCGUGGGGAGGCAAACAGGAUUAGAUACCCCUGUAGU